CUUACAAUUUUUUUGCAUUUUCCAAUAGCGGAGGAAAAGAAACCAACCGGGAUUGCCUUAGUAACGGCGAGUGAAGCGGCAAAAGCUCAAAUUUGAAAUCUGGUACCUUCGGUGCCCGAGUUGUAAUUUGGAGAGGGCAACUUUGGGGCCGUUCCUUGUCUAUGUUCCUUGGAACAGGACGUCAUAGAGGGUGAGAAUCCCGUGUGGCGAGGAGUGCGGUUCUUUGUAAAGUGCCUUCGAAGAGUCGAGUUGUUUGGGAAUGCAGCUCUAAGUGGGUGGUAAAUUCCAUCUAAAGCUAAAUAUUGGCGAGAGACCGAUAGCGAACAAGUACAGUGAUGGAAAGAUGAAAAGAACUUUGAAAAGAGAGUGAAAAAGUACGUGAAAUUGUUGAAAGGGAAGGGCAUUUGAUCAGACAUGGUGUUUUGUGCCCUCUGCUCCUUGUGGGUAGGGGAAUCUCGCAUUUCACUGGGCCAGCAUCAGUUUUGGUGGCAGGAUAAAUCCAUAGGAAUGUAGCUUGCCUCGGUAAGUAUUAUAGCCUGUGGGAAUACUGCCAGCUGGGACUGAGGACUGCGACGUAAGUCAAGGAUGCUGCAUACGCCCUAAUCAAU
rnacentral:rRNA from 1 species